rnacentral:pre_miRNA from 1 species
CUUAUACUCCCUCCGUUCGGAAUUACUUGUCGCAGAAAUGGAUGUAUCUAGACGUAUUUUAGUUCUAGAUACAUCCAUUUCCGAGACAAGUAAUUCCGAACGGAGGGAGUAUUAU